GUCCGCGUAGCACAGUGGUAGUGCGCUUGACUACGAAUCAAGAGGUCGCGAUUUCGAAUAUCGCCGUGGAUU